UAGCAAUCCCAUAAAUCUGUUCUCAGUUCGGAUCGCAGUCUGCAACUCGACUGCGUGAAGCUGGAAUCGCUAGUAAUCGCGGAUCAGCAUGCCGCGGUGAAUACGUUCCCGGGCCUUGUACACACCGCCCGUCACACCACGAGAGUUUGCAACACCCGAAGUCGGUGAGGUAACCUUUAUGGAGCCAGCCGCCGAAGGUGGGGCAGAUGAUUGGGGUGAAGUCGUAACAAGGUA
rnacentral:rRNA from 1 species